AGCAGCCGCGGUAAUUCCAGCUCCAAUAGCGUAUAUUAAAGUUGUUGCAGUUAAAAAGCUCGUAGUUGAAUUUCGGGGUCAGCAGGCUGGUCGUGCCACUGGUAUGAACUGGUCUCGGUGAUUCCUCCUUUCUGAAGAACUGUAAUGUCAUUAAUUUGGUGUUGCAGGGAAACAGGACUGUUACUUUGAAAAAAUUAGAGUGUUUAAAGCAGGCAAUUGCUUGAAUACAUUAGCAUGGAAUAAUGAAAUAGGACGUUCAAACCUAUUUUGUUGGUUUCUAGGAUUGACGUAAUGAUUAAUAGGGAUAGUUGGG
rnacentral:rRNA from 1 species